GGUACCUAACCAGAAAGCCACGGCUAACUACGUGCCAGCAGCCGCGGUAAUACGUAGGUGGCAAGCGUUGUCCGGAAUUAUUGGGCGUAAAGGGCUCGCAGGCGGUUUCUUAAGUCUGAUGUGAAAGCCCCCGGCUCAACCGGGGAGGGUCAUUGGAAACUGGGGAACUUGAGUGCAGAAGAGGAGAGUGGAAUUCCACGUGUAGCGGUGAAAUGCGUAGAGAUGUGGAGGAACACCAGUGGCGAAGGCGACUCUCUGGUCUGUAACUGACGCUGAGGAGCGAAAGCGUGGGGAGCGAACAGGAUUAGAUACCCUGGUAGUCCACGCCGUAAACGAUGAGUGCUAAGUGUUAGGGGGUUUCCGCCCCUUAGUGCUGCAGCUAACGCAUUAAGCACUCCGCCUGGGGAGUACGGUCGCAAGACUGAAACUCAAAGGAAUUGACGGGGGCCCGCACAAGCGGUGGAGCAUGUGGUUUAAUUUGAAGCAACGCGAAGAACCUUACCAGGUCUUGACAUCCUCUGACAAUCCUAGAGAUAGGACGUCCCCUUCGGGGGCAGAGUGACAGGUGGUGCAUGGUUGUCGUCAGCUCGUGUCGUGAGAUGUUGGGUUAAGUCCCGCAACGAGCGCAACCCUUGAUCUUAGUUGCCAGCAUUCAGUUGGGCACUCUAAGGUGACUGCCGGUGACAAACCGGAGGAAGGUGGGGAUGACGUCAAAUCAUCAUGCCCCUUAUGACCUGGGCUACACACGUGCUACAAUGGACAGAACAAAGGGCAGCGAAACCGCGAGGUUAAGCCAAUCCCACAAAUC
rnacentral:rRNA from 1 species